GAUUGGGUAAGGAUGGCAGUUUUCUUCCUUCAGGGACAUUUGUGAACCAAAUGGGGUUUUCUGACCAUCAAUAAUGGAUUCACGUCAUCUUAAUUCCAGAUAUUUAUUGAAUUUGAAUUCCACUAUCUGCCAUAGUGGGAUUUGAACAAGAUCCUCCGAAAAUUACCUGGGUCUCCGGAUCAACAGUCCAGUGAUAAUACCACUUCUCUAUCACCUAUCUGAUAAGGUAAGCCACAUAAAUGCAGUGGCUUCAAGAGCAAGUGAGAAUCCAAUUUGAGUGGCUUUCCUCCUAACUUUUUUUUUAUCACCUGCAAAGUUCAAAUCAGAACUCUGAUGCAGCAGAGCUGACCUUAUCAUCAGCUGCUGGUGAUCAAUUUCAUUGAUUUUUCAAGAAGACCUUUAGAGCACGCGUCAACUGUCACUCAGGUACGUCAUAGUAUAGCAUUCCAGAACAGUAUGUGAGUAUCUUUUGAAGCCGCCUUCUGCUCCAGCUGCUGCAUCAAAUGAGCAUGGCCAACACUGAUACCUUCAGUAUCAUCACCAGGGAGACAGCAAGGGCAUGUACUCUGCCCAUGCCUUUUAUCUCUUGGUAGUUGAUCUCAUCAUGAGGAAUGUUUGGCCAGGUUUAAACUUUGGCAUCUCAUGGUAACGUCUUUGGUUGAUAUACCUGGAUUUCACAGAUGACACUACCCUACUGGCUAAAGAAUCGUGCACUCCAAGAUAGGUCUGCCAAACUUGAGAAUAACAGCACCACAUUGACCUGCACUGUGUGAAGGCUAAAACUACAAUGACUGGAUGGCAAUAUCCAGUUGAGGACAUUGGACAAAUUGGUUCUGAAGUGAUCAUUCAAGAAUCAGUAAAGCAACAUCUGUUUUCCAGUGACUUUGUAUGCUUUGUGCCUUUUAAUGCAGUAAUGAUGCUGCACCAUCAUUGGGUAAGAUCAUGGAUGUAAUUUGGAGAGACAUCAUGCCAAUGAAGAAAUGUUUCACAGGACUGAUCAGAGGUGCCUAUAGAAUGUAGUGACAGAGUUGACUGAGACUUGCAAGGCAUAUGAUUUGCCUGCCAGAGGUAUGUUUGUCAAACAUAGCAAUGAAGUAGACAGCACUAAAUGAAUACAGAUGAUGGGGCAAUUCAAAGAAGACCUAGCAACGUAUGUUUCAGGAGUACCUUCCACAGCAGUACAUUGCCUGGACUGGAGAAGUAGAUUGGAUUGGAUCAUGGCUGAUAGUGGAGGCUUGCUGCCAAUUGCCCUACACAGAGGAACUAAGGCUAAUUCCAUAGCUUCUGAUCUGUGACUUUCAGAGAAACCUGGAUUGAACUGAAGAAUACAAUCAAAAAGCAUUGAUUAAAAAUUUUAUAAUUUGAUAUAAUAUGUAUUUGACUUACUCAGUUGCUGUAAAUUGUGAGCCUCAAAUAUAAGCUAGUUGGAUGCAAUUGUUAGGACAAUGAUCGUUCCAGAUUCCCAUGUAAUAAAAUCACGUUUGUCUGGCUUGAUUUAAUCAGCCACAGUAAAACAGUGGGCCUGCAUGUGUUUCAUCUUGUGGGCUGCUCAUCACUUGCCUUCAUUUCCCAUCUGCUGCGUUCUGGUGCCUCAACAUAUGACCACCAUUCAUAAAGCAGCUGCUUUAUAGCGAUACUGAUAAUUUGAUCUUAUUAGCACAUACAUGCUUGGGCAAUAGUUAGCACUCAACAUUUAAACUUUAACUUUCUUGGUUUUUGCAUUUCAAAUCACUAAGCCUUUUAAGCCAUGUAAAUUUUGAUUUUUAAUAGCAAAUUGCUAUAUAUUAUCACUUUUCAAAUAAAAGUACAGAAGUUUCCCAAAUGCUAGCAGUCUUCCAUCUUGCUUUCUCCCAACCUCUGUUUUUCACAGUCAAAUAUCAUAGCCAAGCUUGAUGUUAUCCUCUUGCAACACCGAAAACAUGCUGGGAUUAACAAUCAAAAGCAGGUGCAUUGAAAAUUUUUCUUUUAACACAAGUUCUUAUAUAUCCCAUCGGUAAUUAACUAUUCAAAUUCAUUUGGAAAUUGACCAUCUACGCCCAUGGAAUAGACCAUCUUGGGAUCUUCAGUGGUUUGAAGUUGUGUGGUCAUCUGUAAAAAGCAACUGCAUAAGCCAUUUCAGCAGUUCCACGCAGCUGAAUUUUACAGUUUCAUUAGCUUUGUGGAAAGCAUGGUUUGGAUAAAACCAAUAUUUUGUAAUUGUACAGGCAAUUUCAAAAAUCUGAAAGACUACACAAGAGUUUAGAUUUAAUUGCAUUUUCAGUUACAGCAUAAAUAGCUUUUUUCAACUUUUUUCAACCCGUUAACAGUAUAUUCAUUUUCUCAUUGAACAAAGAUCCCUUUCAUAGAUCAUAGCUUUGUGUUUUAUCAAAUGAAUGCUAAAUAGCUUAGCAAGCUUCAAAGCAAUGAAGGCCAUUUAUUUUGAAAAUUACACUACAGAUAUUUUUGUGUUUGCAGUCUUCACUAUCAACAGAAUGCAUGUUUUUGAAAGUGCAUUCUGUUGGUAAAUAAGACAAGUGAAUGCUGAUUUGAAAUGACUGACGUUAAUGUACUUAGUAUUUUACAAUCACUGCAACUUCAGUUUCUUUUACAUUUGAGUCCAGAGUAGACAAUGUUACAACCUAGGUUUUUAAACUCACCUGAACACCUGAAGGAGUGAUAACCGCUAGGUUGAUUAAAUUAGGUAACACUUAAAAAGAUGAGCUAGUUAGAUGCAAUGUAUGUGGUUUUGUAAAAAAAAAACGUGCUUGACUAACAUAAUUGAUUUUUAGAAAAUUCUCAGAACAGAUUGAGCAAAUGCAGUGUCUAUUAUGUUUAUCGAUAUUUAAAAGACUUUUGAUGAAAGUGCUGCAUAAAAUAACUUGAUCAGAAGAUUGAUUUGCAUUACACUAAAAGAUAUACAACUGCAAGGAUAAAAAUGACUUAAGGAUGGAAAGCAAUUAGAAAAUGAAUGUUUUGUUUGGAUUGAUAUAGUAUUGUUACUGAUGUGCUGCUGUGAUCACUUCUAUUAUAAGCAAAAUUGGACACAGGCAAAAUGAAGAUACCGCAAGUGGAUUCUGCUAUGACGUGCGUUUCUUCAAUGUGAAUUGGCUAUAACGCAAUUAAAGAAUUUAGACCAUUA